AUAAGUGUUUGAGGUAUAAACUCACUCAAAGAAGAUGAACUUUCAAUUGGCAAGAAAUGACAAUGUAUCAAAUGAAAAGGGGUACAGGGGGCGUCGAAGGGAUAUCAUCCCAUUGAGACAUUGAAUCUCAAAUCGCGAGAGAAAGGAGGUGCAGUGGCUAGGGUUUCUAGUGAUGGAAUGAAGAACACGAGAGAUUAUUGGAGUCAUUUUUAUUUUUAUUUAUUUAUUGAUACAGUGAGAAUGAGGAUUUUAGAGGGGGGUAGAUGGUCAUUAUAAUUAGCGUAAUUAUUAUAGAAUCAAUAGGUUAGGUGAUUAAUGAAUUUGUUUAACAUUAGAGGUGGUGGGUCCUUUAAUAGCAAUAUGUGUAAAUAGUUGAAAAUUAUAAGGGUAAUAAAUAAUAAUUAAUCAAAAACUUACUAAAAAUAGGUUAUGACAUCUUUU
rnacentral:lncRNA from 1 species